AUAACCAUGUUCUAUACUUUUGAGGCAUAAGCAAUUCGGAAAUAACACUUACUACCCAGGAACCAAAAAAAAAAAAAAAAUUGUUACACGGUGUUAUUAUUAUUAUUAUUUGUUUAUUUAGUAGAUGCCUUUAUCCAAGGCGACUUACAGCGACUAGGGUGUGUGAACUAUGCAUCAACUGCAGAGUCACUUACAAUUACAUCCCACCCGAAAGACGGAGCACAAGGAGGUUAAGUGACUUGCUCAGGGUCAAACAAUGAGUCAGUGGCUCAGGUGGGAUUUGAACUGGGGACCUCCUGGUUACAAGCCCUUUUCUUUAAUCACUGGACCACACAGCCUCCCAUAAUAAUAAUGGCCAGCUGGUUUGGGUUUUCCCCAGACUUAUUUAUUCAUUUUAUUGUCAUUGUUUGUUAGCCUACUAUUAGUAGUUUAACUACUACUGCAGGCACCAACGUUAACAGCUUAAACUUAAACUUUACUGUAAAAAAAGAGGCACUAUAGUUUGAAAUGCCGGUACAGUGGGUGGAGUAAUAUGCAUUUUCAGUGAGAGUUGACCCUGCCUUCAGAGGACGGAGAUGAGGCAAAGAGAGGCUGCUGUGGAUGUAAAGGGAGUUUCUUUGGAAGACUGCUCUUGGGCACCAUCUAGCUCUGGCACUGAUCAAGACAUACCAGUCCAAAAUGGCGGAGAUAGAAGACAUAUUUGAGGGAGUUGAAGAAGCCAUUGAUGGAGCUGACGAUGACAUUGAAGACCUAUCAGAAGAAGCACAAGAGGAAAUAAAAGCAGAAGUAGCUGAAGCACGAGCAGAAGUUGCAGAGCUUUCCAAAGUUAGCGAGACCUUAAAAACCUUGCUUCAAUACGUCACAACAAGUAUACCAAAAAUAGUAGGAUUUGUUGUGAAAAAUUUAGCUAUCGGUGCUAUCUUGUGGGGUGUAAAUGUUGUUCUUAACAAAUUGCUUCCCGAUAAACAACAAUCCAAGGAUGUACAGAGAAAGCGUGCUGUGAUUAAGGCAUUAACCGCAAUCAUUAAAAAUGAAACAGGCCUCAGUGAAAAGCUCCUAAAGUGGAUGACAGACCACAAAGAUGAUAUGAUUCAACUGGAAGGAUUUGAAGUACCAAUGGAAUCAAUUAUUCAGAAAUACAUUGGACCAGUAUCUGAUGUACGUAAUGUUUUGCUACUUUUUAUUUAUGUUCUAUUAACAAUAUAUACAGCAGUUAUCGUCAAAAGUUUACAUACAUACAAUGGAAAUGAAUAAUUUCUAGGAGUUUCUCUAAAACCCCAAAAUUGAGUUCCUGCCAGCAGAGAGAGAAUUGAGGCAUCCACUUCAUUUAUUAUUAAAUGUAGUAGUAACCUAGUAUCAGUUGUAAGAAUUCCGUUUGUGUAAUAUUUAAUACCAAUUCAGAUUUUAGAACAUACAGCAGCAACAGGGUAACACUGUAUUUUAAGCAGUUAUUAGGGAGUUAUUAACAAUGUUUUUCAGGAACCAAUCCUAUCUAAUACUAUAGCUUUUCUCUUAUUAGCAACCUCUGGAUAAUGGCAACUUUUUGAUGGCUACCAAGUGAUUGUUAAUAAGCAGCAUUUACCAUGUGUAUAUACUUUCGUGGCCUGCCUACUACAUCAUUAGAAACUGAAAGGUAGGGUAUUAAAUACCUCUUCUGUGCUGAUUUGAUGUUUGAUAUUUCACAAUUUGAUGUUUUAGCCGUUGAGCAAGCCUUCAAAGUUGCAAACUCACUCACGAAAAAGAUUGACGGGAAAACCCAGAUCAACAUCCCAACAGCAGAAGACAUCCAGCAGUUCCUUGCAGCUGCCGAUGCAUUUCUCCAAGCCUUCAGUAAUUUGAUUCAGUUUGUCUCCACACAUGUUCAACAGAUUAAAGAGCUUAAAACCUUUCCAUUGACACAGGCAGACAUUGACUCUCUUAAAACUCAGCUGGAUGAUGCUAAGGCCUUACCUUUGUGGUAAACAAAAAAUAUGUCUUGACUUUUGAUAAUGUAUAGGAUCAAAAGAGACAGGCACACACUGCUCCAAAAGCUUGCAUUUUUCUCAUAUUCACGAUUAAAACAGCUAAUAAUAAACUCUGGAAAGUUAAAAUAUUCAAAACGCAGUUUUUGUUUUCUGGUAUAACUGUUUAUUAACAUAGACGUGAAUGAUUAAAACACAAUUGUUAAUAGAAAUACAAUGCUUGAGCUUCAACUAAACACGACAAGAUUAAAAAAGCAAUAUAAUUGUGUGUAUUUUUCAUUUUACCAUUUUUAUUCUUCACAAGUAUAAAUGUUGUUGUGAUAUAUGUGACUCAUAUUAUUAAGUGGCUUCUCAUUAAAAAAAGAACAAACA